rnacentral:lncRNA from 1 species
UUUGGUGUCUUUCCCUGUUUCAGAAGUCAGAGGAACCCAGGUUCUCCCAUCCAACUGCUCUGCCUCAGCAGAUUCCUUCCCAGCAGCUAAUGUCUAAGGAUCAGGAUGAGCAAGAAGAAUUAGACUUCCUGUUUGAUGAGGAGAUGGAGCAGAUGGAUGGGCGGAAGAAUACCUUCACUGCCUGGUCUGACGAGGACUCUGACUAUGAAAUCGACGACCGAGAUGUCAAUAAGAUUCUCAUCGUCACUCAAACACCACCUUAUAUGCGUCGGCACCCUGGAGGGGACCGCACAGGCAACCACACUUCACGUGCCAAGAUGAGUGCUGAGCUGGCCAAGGUCAUUAAUGAUGGACUCUUCUACUAUGAACAAGACCUAUGGACCGAGAAGUUUGAGCCUGAGUAUUCACAGAUCAAGCAAGAAGUCGAGAACUUCAAGAAAGUGAAUAUGAUUAGUCGGGAGCAAUUUGACACUUUGACCCCUGAGCCCCCUGUGGAUCCUAACCAGGAGGUUCCUCCUGGACCACCUCGGUACCAACAAGUUCCUACUGAUGCCCUGGCCAACAAGCUGUUUGGUGCUCCCGAGCCAUCCACCAUUGCCCGUUCUCUACCAACCACUGUCCCAGAGUCUCCAAACUACCGAAACGCCAGGACCCCCCGCACACCCCGGACCCCCCAGCUCAAAGACUCUAGUCAGACAUCACGGUUUUACCCAGUGGUGAAAGAAGGACGGACCCUAGAUGCCA